GCCCCUUUAAGGCAGCGCAGCCCCGCGCGCAUUCCAGCGGCCGCGUCACCGUUCCGGGAAGCAGGUGGCGUCAUCCCGCCGCCCCGUCAUCCCGCGGCGAAAGGGGCGGGCGCUCGGAGACAAAGAAAGAAUUAAAAAUAGAAGCACACAGCUUUCCAUGAUGUGAAAUACAGGGGAAAACAGAGUAAUGCCCCCAGCAGUGAUUUCAGAAGGACCUGUGAAGGUUCUUGGGAGUCUUGCAAGAGAAAACUGCAGCAAUUUAAUGCCUUUCCAAAUUAUCAUUUGUUGAGUAUAUUGCCUGAUGGUAGUUUUGGAACAAAAGUAAAAGGAGGUGAUUUACAAACUGUG